rnacentral:rRNA from 1 species
GAUGAACGUUGGCGGCGUGCCUAAUACAUGCAAGUCGAACGAAGACUGUAGUAAUACUGUCUUAGUGGCGAACGGGUGAGUAACGCGUGGGUGACCUGCCCCGAAGUGUGGGAUAACAGUCCGAAAGGAUUGCUAAUACUGCAUAAUAUCCAAGAGAUUAGAUGCUUUUGGAUUAAAGGAGUAAUUCGCUUCGGGAGGGGCCCGCGUCCCAUCAGCUAGUUGGUAAGGUAAUGGCUUACCAAGGCGAUGACGGGUAGGGGACCUGAGAGGGUGGCCCCCCACAAUGGAACUGAAACACGGUCCAUACACCUACGGGUGGCAGCAGUAGGGAAUAUUGGUAAUGCGCGAAAGCGUGAACCAGCAACGCCGCGUGUGCGAUGAAAGGCCUUCGGGUUGUAAAGCACUUUUCGGGAGGAAGAGGAAGGACUGUACUCCCAGAAUAAGCCUCGGCUAACUACGUGCCAGCAGCCGCGGUAAGCUCGUCUCUA